rnacentral:rRNA from 1 species
GAUGAACGCUGGCGGCGUGCCUAAUACAUGCAAGUCGAGCGAACAGACGAGGAGCUUGCUCCUCUGACGUUAGCGGCGGACGGGUGAGUAACACGUGGAUAACCUACCUAUAAGACUGGGAUAACUUCGGGAAACCGGAGCUAAUACCGGAUAAUAUAUUGAACCGCAUGGUUCAAUAGUGAAAGACGGUUUUGCUGUCACUUAUAGAUGGAUCCGCGCCGCAUUAGCUAGUUGGUAAGGUAACGGCUUACCAAGGCAACGAUGCGUAGCCGACCUGAGAGGGUGAUCGGCCACACAGGAACUGAGACACGGUCCAGGCUCCUACGGGAGGAAGCAGAAGGGAAUCUUAGGCAAUGGGCGCAAGCCUGACGGAGCAACGCCGCGUGAGUGAUGAAGGUCUUCGGAUCGUAAAACUCUGUUAUUAGGGAAGAACAAAUGUGUAAGUAACUAUGCACGUAUUGACGGUACCUAAUCAGAAAGCCACGGCUAACUACGUG